GGUAACAGGGAGCUUGCUCCGCUGACGAGUGGCGAACGGGUGAGUAAUAUAUCGGAACGUACCCAGAAGUGGGGGAUAACGUAGCGAAAGUUACGCUAAUACCGCAUACGAUCCACGGAUGAAAGUAGGGGACCUUCGGGCCUUAUGCUUUUGGAGCGGCCGAUAUCUGAUUAGCUAGUUGGUGAGGUAAAGGCUCACCAAGGCGACGAUCAGUAGCUGGUCUGAGAGGACGACCAGCCACACUGGAACUGAGACACGGUCCAGACUCCUACGGGAGGCAGCAGUGGGGAAUUUUGGACAAUGGGCGCAAGCCUGAUCCAGCAAUGCCGCGUGAGUGAAGAAGGCCUUCGGGUUGUAAAGCUCUUUUGUCAGGGAAGAAACGGCUGUGGCUAAUAUCCACGGCUAAUGACGGUACCUGAAGAAUAAGCACCGGCUAACUACGUGCCAGCAGCCGCGGUAAUACGUAGGGUGCAAGCGUUAAUCGGAAUUACUGGGCGUAAAGCGUGCGCAGGCGGUUUUGUAAGUCUGACGUGAAAUCCCCGGGCUCAACCUGGGAAUUGCGUUGGAGACUGCAAGGCUAGAAUCUGGCAGAGGGGGGUAGAAUUCCACGUGUAGCAGUGAAAUGCGUAGAGAUGUGGAGGAACACCGAUGGCGAAGCAGCCCCCUGGGUCAAGAUUGACGCUCAUGCACGAAAGCGUGGGGAGCAAACAGGAUUAGAUACCCUGGUAGUCCACGCCCUAAACGAUGUCUACUAG
rnacentral:rRNA from 1 species